AAGAAAGUGACAGAGUGGUUAUGUGAUUGGCUUGAACUGAUUAAUGGGGGUUCAAUUCCUUCCUUUCUUG
rnacentral:tRNA from 1 species